CAGGAAGCGGCCCGUGCCAAUCAUGCCCUACUUCCUGCUUUCCUCCUUACUUCCGGUCACACAGAUCAGGGUUAAACAGUGGUAAAGAAGACAUCCGAUCGCAUUGUGUUAGAGGGACUGAGCAGAACCCAGAGCCCUAUCACUGUGCCUCCACCUCACUCACUGAUACAUGAGACACAAUAACCAAAAGAUCCUGGAACUCACCAACAAGACGAUUCAGCUGCUGACUGGAGAGGUGACUUUUGGGAGAGGGAGUAUAUAGAGGAACACAGGGGUCUAUACAAGGACGUGAUGAUGGAGAAUCACCGGCCCCUCACAUCACUGGAUGGGCCCAGUAACAGAGAUACCCCAGAGAGAUGUCCCCGUCCUCUGUAUUCCCAGGAUUGUACAGAGGAGAAUCACAGGACCGCAC